rnacentral:rRNA from 1 species
UGUCUCCACCCGAGACUCAGUGAAAUUGAACUCGCUGUGAAGAUGCAGUGUACCCGCGGCAAGACGGAAAGACCCCGUGAACCUUUACUAUAGCUUGACACUGAACAUUGAGCCUUGAUGUGUAGGAUAGGUGGGAGGCUUUGAAGUGUGGACGCCAGUCUGCAUGGAGCCGACCUUGAAAUACCACCCUUUAAUGUUUGAUGUUCUAACGUUGACCCGUAAUCCGGGUUGCGGACAGUGUCUGGUGGGUAGUUUGACUGGGGCGGUCUCCUCCUAAAGAGUAACGGAGGAGCACGAAGGUUGGCUAAUCCUGGUCGGACAUCAGGAGGUUAGUGCAAUGGCAUAAGCCAGCUUGACUGCGAGCGUGACGGCGCGAGCAGGUGCGAAAGCAGGUCAUAGUGAUCCGGUGGUUCUGAAUGGAAGGGCCAUCGCUCAACGGAUAAAAGGUACUCCGGGGAUAACAGGCUGAUACCGCCCAAGAGUUCAUAUCGACGGCGGUGUUUGGCACCUCGAUGUCGGCUCAUCACAUCCUGGGGCUGAAGUAGGUCCCAAGGGUAUGGCUGUUCGCCAUUUAAAGUGGUACGCGAGCUGGGUUUAGAACGUCGUGAGACAGUUCGGUCCCUAUCUGCCGUGGGCGCUGGAGAACUGAGGGGGGCUGCUCCUAGUACGAGAGGACCGGAGUGGACGCAUCACUGGUGUUCGGGUUGUCAUGCCAAUGGCACUGCCCGGUAGCUAAAUGCGGAAGAGAUAAGUGCUGAAAGCAUCUAAGCACGAAACUUGCCCCGAGAUGAGUUCUCCCUGACUCCUUGAGAGUCCUGAAGGAACGUUGAAGACGACGACGUUGAUAGGCCGGGUGUGUAAGCGCAGCGAUGCGUUGAGCUAACCGGUACUAAUGAACCGUGAGG